GGUUGUGGCUCAGUGGCAGAGCACUUGCCUAGCACGUGUGAGGCCCUAGGUUCAAUUCCCAGCACCA
rnacentral:tRNA from 1 species